GAUGAACGCUGGCGGUAUGCCUAACACAUGCAAGUCGUACGAGAGUUUCUAACUCUAGUGGCGGACGGGUGAGUAACACGUGAGAAUUUGCCUUUAGGAGGGGGAUAACAAUUGGAAACGAAUGCUAAUACCCCAUAUGCUUUUGAGUGAAACGGAUUUAUCCGCCUAGAGAGAAGCUCGCGGCUGAUUAGCUUGUUGGUAAGGUAAGAGCUUACCAAGGCGACGAUCAGUAUCUGGUUUGAGAGGACGAUCAGACACACUGGAACUGAGACACGGUCCAGACUCCUACGGGAGGCAGCAGUGGGGAAUUUUCCGCAAUGGGCGAAAGCCUGACGGAGCAAUACCGCGUGAGGGAAGACUGCCUAUGGGUUGUAAACCUCUUUUUUCAGGGAGGAAUAAAAUGACGUGUACCUGAAGAAUAAGCAUCAGCUAACUCCGUG
rnacentral:rRNA from 1 species